rnacentral:rRNA from 1 species
ACCGUCGACAGUCAGGUAACGAGCGAGACCCCUGCGUCUAGUUGCUACCAUUACUCUCUGGAGCAGUGGAGCGAAUUAGACGGACCGCCACAGUUAAUGUGGAGGAAGGAAGGGGCCACGGCAGGUCAGUAUGCCCCGAAACCCUAGGGCUACACGCGGGCUGCAAUGGUAUUGACAAUGUGUUCCGAAUCCGAAAGGAGGAGGCAAUCAUCAAACAAUAUCUCAGUUAUGACUGAGGGCUGUAACCCGCCCUCACGAAUAUGGAAUCCCUAGUAACCGCGCGUCACUACCGCGCGGUGAAUACGUCCCUGCUCCUUGCACGAAUUCGCCG